rnacentral:rRNA from 1 species
CCAGACUCCUACGGGAGGCAGCAGUGGGGAAUAUUGGACAAUGGGGGGAACCCUGAUCCAGCGACGCCGCGUGAGUGAAGAAGUAUUUCGGUAUGUAAAGCUCUAUCAGCAGGGAAGAAAGAAAUGACGGUACCUGACUAAGAAGCCCCGGCUAACUACGUGCCAGCAGCCGCGGUAAUACGUAGGGGGCAAGCGUUAUCCGGAUUUACUGGGCGUAAAGGGAGCGUAGACGGCAUGGCAAGUCAGAUGUGAAAGCCCGGGGCUCAACCCCGGGACUGCAUUUGAAACUGUCAGGCUGGAGUGCAGGAGAGGUAAGUGGAAUUCCUAGUGUAGCGGUGAAAUGCGUAGAUAUUAGGAGGAACACCAGUGGCGAAGGCGGCUUACUGGACUGUAACUGACGUUGAGGCUCGAAAGCGUGGGGAGCAAACAGGAUUAGAUACCCCUGUAGCC